rnacentral:rRNA from 1 species
UGAGGAAUUUUGCGCAAUGGGGGCAACCCUGACGCAGCAACGCCGCGUGAGUGACGAAGGCCUUCGGGUUGUAAAGCUCUGUCGACCGGAAAGAAACCUUGGGAGAAUAAUACGUUCCCAAGCUGACGGUACCGGUAAAGGAAGCACCGGCUAACUCCGUGCCAGCAGCCGCGGUAAUACGGAGGGUGCAAGCGUUAUUCGGAAUUAUUGGGUGUAAAGCGCGUGUAGGCGGCUUGGUAUGUCAGAGGUGAAAGCCCGGGGCUUAACUCCGGAAGUGCCUUUGAAACUGCCAGGCUUGAGUCUUGGAGAGGAAGGUGGAAUUCCCAGUGUAGAGGUGAAAUUCGUAGAUAUUGGGAGGAACACCGGUGGCGAAAGCGGCCUUCUGGACGAUGACUGACGCUAAGACGCGAAAGCGUGGGGAGCAAACA